rnacentral:rRNA from 1 species
UAAUUCUAGAGCUAAUACAUGCUGUUGUGCCCGACUCACGAAGGGCCGUAUUUAUUAGAUAUCAGCCAAUAAGCAUCUGCUAUUGUGGUGACUCAUAGUAACUUAAUCGGAUCGCAUGGGCUUGUCCCGCGACAAACCAUUCAAGUUUCUGCCCCAUCAUGCUUUCGAUGGUAGUGUAUUGGACUACCAUGGCUUUCACGGGUAACGGAGGAUUAGGGUUCGAUUCCGGAGAGGGAGCCUGAGAAACGGCUACCACUUCCACGGAAGGCAGCAGGCGCGUAAAUUACCCAAUCCUGAUUCAGGGAGGUAGUGACAAGAAAUAACGGGUCGGGGUUUUGCCCCGGGACU